rnacentral:rRNA from 1 species
UACAUAGGUCCCAAGCGGUGUUCGGAUUCAUUGGGCGUAAAGGGUGCGUAGGCGGCGCGGUAAGUCGGGUGUGAAAUCUCGGGGCUUAACUCCGAAACUGCAUUCGAUACUGCCGUGCUUGAGGACUGGAGAGGAGACUGGAAUUUACGGUGUAGCGGUGAAAUGCGUAGAUAUCGUAAGGAAGACCAGUGGCGAAGGCGGGUCUCUGGACAGUUCCUGACGCUGAGGCACGAAGGUCAGGGGAGCAAACGGG